AUUGAACGCUGGCGGCAUGCUUUACACAUGCAAGUCGAACGGUAACAGGCCUUCGGGUGCUGACGAGUGGCGAACGGGUGAGUAAUGCGUCGGAACGUGCCCAAUCGUGGGGGAUAACGUAGCGAAAGUUACGCUAAUACCGCAUAAGCCCUGAGGGGGAAAGUGGGGGACCGCAAGGCCUCACGCGAAUGGAGCGGCCGAUGUCAGAUUAGCUAGUUGGUGGGGUAAGGCCUACCAAGCCGACGAUCUGUAGCUGGUCUGAGAGGACGACCAGCCACACUGGGACUGAGACACGGCCCAGACUCCUACGGGAGGCAGCAGUGGGGAAUUUGGACAAUGGACGCAAGUCUGAUCCAGCAAUGCCGCGU
rnacentral:rRNA from 1 species